rnacentral:rRNA from 1 species
GAUGAACGCUGGCGGCGUGCCUAAUACAUGCAAGUCGAGCGAACGGACGAGGAGCUUGCUCCUCUGACGUUAGCGGCGGACGGGUGAGUAACACGUGGAUAACCUACCUAUAAGACUGGGAUAACUUCGGGAAACCGGAGCUAAUACCGGAUAAUAUAUUGAACCGCAUGGUUCAAUAGUGAAAGACGGUUUUGCUGUCACUUAUAGAUGGAUCCGCGCCGCAUUAGCUAGUUGGUAAGGUAACGGCUUACCAAGGCAACGAUGCGUAGCCGACCUGAGAGGGUGAUCGGCCACACUGGAACUGAGACACGGUCCAGACUCCUACGGGAGGCAGCAGUAGGGAAUCUUCCGCAAUGGGCGAAAGCCUGACGGAGCAACGCCGCGUGAGUGAUGAAGGUCUUCGGAUCGUAAAACUCUGUUAUUAGGGAAGAACAAAUGUGUAAGUAACUAUGCACGACUUGACGGUACCUAAUCAGAAAGCCACGGCUAACUACGUG